GAGGAGCUGGAGCGCAAGAGAAACGAGCUGAAGGAAUCCUAGGAUGAGGUGUCGGUGCUUAGCGAAUCUCUGUCUUUGAAAGACACCACAUAUUUGGAGAAAUGGUCAACGUCGAUGAAGAUGAUAGACUUUUCAUGCACCUUGUGUAGGCCCUUAAAGAAAUCCAUCAAGAUGUUUGCUCACACCUAAGAUGAUACAUCGACUGGCUGUAGUAGAUCAGUCGCUUGUAGGGGUGGGCGUUCGGGUUUAGGGAUGAAAACGGUCGGAAACGGUAUUUAUUCGGUAAUCAGUUUUUUAGUCGUUUUUCUUUGAUUGUGAAUAAAUAGGAUAUAGAAUCCAUAAUACAAUUUUGUAUUCUUGUUUUUAACAUCCAACUUGUAAAGAUUCAUAAAUGAUAAACCUUAAAUUCAUCCUACAUUUUCUCAAAUAAUAGAUAUAAACUUCGGUAUGGAUUCGGAAAUAAAUUCGGUAAAUUUUUCAACUAUUUAUGUUGUAGGGACCAAAUAAUAUAUAAAACAAUUUAUGUAAUAUUUUAUUCAUAUUUGUACUAAUGUGCUUGAUAACAUAAGAAAAUAUCAAUAUCAAAUUUUAUAUAUAUUUAUUUUAAAAUAUUAAAUUUGUCCUAACAGUUCAGAUUACCGCUUUCAUCCCUAUUUGGGUUACUCGAAAAUUUUGGGUCGGGUAAUUCGGGUUUUCAAAAUUUCGGGUUUUGAGAAUCGAUACCCGAAAUUACAACGGGUUUUGCAACACCCGAAAAUUCGGGUACCCGAAAUUUCGGGUUCGGGUAUUCCCGAACUACCCAAACUAUUGUGUCGGCUUCAUAAAAACACAUACACCCUAUCAAAUUAGUAUAAAAAUAUAGUUUGAAUAAUGAUAUACAUGGACAUAUAAAACACAAGCAAUCUACAAUCACAAGUUAUGCACAUACACAUAAUUAUAAAUGUACAAAUUAAUAAUUAAGCAUGACAUGAGUACAUGACACAUGAAAGUUCGGGUAAUUCGGGUAUUUCGGGUACCCGAUUGUGAUACCCGAAUUACCUGAACUAAAUUGGGGUUUUGCAAGUUGCUACCCGAAAUUCCGGAACAAAAUUCGGGUUUCGGGUAUUUCGGGUUCGGGUUUCGGGUUACGGGUUUUUUGCCCAGCCCUAGUCGCUUGUAGGGUCGGCGUCUUGUUGUGUUGACACAUGACAUACACGUGAACAAAGUCACAGAUGAAUACUUGGUCGCCAGGGAUAUAGAUGUCCCUGCGUAGACGUGGAAGGGUUUUUUCAAUCCCUUCGUGGCUAGCAGAAUGGGUCAAUGCAACCACUCGAUGACACAAAUCGAGCUGUGCCGGCAUGAAGAUGCGCUUGCCUAGAGAAGGAAGCCGUCAGUAGACGCCUAGACAGUGGUGGACCAGGCUAGGGCAAGUGGUUCUCCUGGGACUGAUAUGUCGUGUGCUUUGAGGGUCGAGGCAACAUGUACCUCAGGGGCUAGUGUAGGUGUUAUGGGGGCUAUUGCAAUUGCCAUGAGAGUUGGUGUAUGUGGUGUCCUACGCCUUGGCAUGCGAGUUACCCCAAGGGUGGGGGCAAGGGAAGCCUCCAGCAUCUGUCGUUGAAUGUGACCAACUUCUACGUCAUGUGGUGUCCUAUGCCUUGGCAUGCGAGUUACCCCAAGGGUGGGGGCAAGGGAAGCCUCCAGCAGCUGUCGUUGAAUGUGACCAGCUUCUACGUCAGCUUAUGUGGUGGUGCAAAUUUCUCAAGAAGGCAGAAUGAGGGCACUGUUAGGGCGAGUAGCUCAAUAUGUACAAGUUUCAACUUGAGGUUAGUGGUUGAAACAUAUGAGUCUAGAGUCAUGACGAGAAAAGCUGUUGGCUGCCGAGUUGAGGCGCCCUAGGCGGUACUCCAACGCAAAGUCGAAGCCGAACAACUUGUUGAUCACUUGGUGUUGGGGCACAGUGGACAACCGUUGGUCGAGGAACUUCAUGUUGUAGUCCUUAAGCUAUCUCCAACAGACCCUUUAUCCCAUCCCCUAUCACAUCCCCUAUUUCAAACUACACUCUGCAAACAGUGACAAAUAGUCAUCUACAGUUUCGCAUCCCCUAUUGUACACUACCUACUUGAGACAAUCUUAGUGAGGAUGAUGAAUCGAUGACACCAAUGAUACGGUUGCCAAUAUCGUACGACUUGGACCAAGCACGAUGAGUUCAUGCUUGUAUGUCACUAGCUUGUGGCGGGCGACAAAGGGUCGACUAAAGAAGGCCAGGGGCUCAACCCCAUGGUGGGCACCAAAACCUGCUCCCGAUGCUUCGUAGUCGACGAUGUAAUGCUUGUUGAAGUUUGACAUCUGCAACACUAGACUAGAGGAGAGGGCGUGCUUGAGCAUCACGAAGGCCUUGACAGCCUCCCACGUUCAUGCGAACACUCCUUUGUGCAACAGGCGAGUGUGGAGUGGUGAAUGUGUCGAAGUUUUGGAUGAACUUUCUGUAGUAGCUGACCAAGCUUAGGAAGCCACGCACACCCUACGGUGACCAAGGUUCUGCCCAAGACGCUUCGAUAUCCACUUUAUCGGUGUCCAUCGUGGCACUGUUGGUGGAGAUGACAUGGCCGAGAUAGGCGAUCAAGGGUGCACCAAAGGUGCACUUGGACCGCUUGAGGAAGAGGCUGUGGGUGCGUAGGGUGUUGAAGAUGAGACAUGUGUUGCAAGUGCUUGGACCACGCGAGUUGUAGAUCAGGAUGUCGUCUAAGAAUACAAGCACAAACUUGUGGAGGAAGGGCAAGAGGAUGUCGUUCAUGAGCGUCUGGAAUGUCGUUGGCACGAUGAGGAACCCAAAGUGCCUAUGGUGCAUGCAAAACGUCAUCUUUUUAACAUUCCACAUGUGCAUUCGGAUCUGGUGGUAGUUGGACCGUAAAUUCAGGUUGGUGAAGAACUUGGCGCCAUGAAGCUCAUCCAAGUGCUUGUCCAUUGCAGGAAUCGAGAACUUAUCCUUGGAUGUUUUGUCAUUCAACGCCCGAUAGUUGAUGCAAAAGUGCUAGGAUCCGUUUGCCUUUUUGACAAGAAGCAUCAGUGUCGAGAAUGGGGAAGUACUAGUGCAAAUGGUAUCUUGUUCUUGCAUGGUAGCACAUUGCCUCUUGAGCUUGACCUUCUAAAGAUGUGGGUAGCGGUAAGGGUGUAUAACUAUUGGCGUCAUGCCUGGAAACAAGUGGAUUUGGUGGUCGUAGGGGUGUGCCAAGGGAAGUUCAUGGGGCUCAUCUAAAAUCACUCUUUAAUGCUAGAGGAGGCGGUCCAACAGGGGUCUUGUAGGGUUCACAAAUAAGGCGCAGAGAGUCGGCUCUUGAAUGUCGCUGCGAGGGGAGCCCAACCCCUUCUAGAAGACACGUCGGUCACUUUGUUGGAAGGACAUGCAAAGAUCCUCAUAAGUGUCACAAAAUAGGGCCAAGGCUAUGGAGGUAGUCGACACCUAAGACAUGGUCAAAAUCGCCUAGGUUGAUGCCAAACCAACUGAUAAUAAAGUCCUCCCUGUCAAUGUGCACUGCCACAUUGCGAGCCACGUUGAUGAAAGCUACAUGGUCUCCAUUAGCCAUCGUGACUUGUAGGUUGCAGUCACUUAUCUUCAGCUCGAUGCGACGCAUAACCCGUCAUUGUUAAAGUUGUGGAUCGAGUCGAUAUCGAGGAGUGCGAGGAGCUUAUGGUCUCCUCUGUUCGAAUGCUAGUGAUGGUGUGGAGGGAGAUUGUUAGAAUACAAGUGAAUUGCCCACCUCUCUUCAUGAGCUUUAGUUUUUGGGUUAAGCUGGUUGGUGCAUGCAACUUAAUGCACCAUCAAAGCCAGAUGUCUCGAGUUCAAUUCCUUGUUAAUGCAAUUAGGUGAAAUAAUUGUUACUCGCUUGUAUUUCAUGUCUGAGGCCUGAGAGGGUCUCCACGUGAGGGGGAGUGUUAGAAUACAAGUGAAUUACUCACCUCUUUAUCAGCUUAAGCUUUUAUGUUGUACUGGUUGGUGCAUGCAAUUUAAUAGAGACGACUGGAUAGUUGGGUUGCUUGGCCACCACCUUGGAGUCAACUGCUGGACGACCUUGGAGAGGGCUUCUCUUAUGGUGUUGAGGGUUGGUGGCACUCCCUACAACGCCAGCUGAACGACCCGCUGUACCGUCGGGGAUGAAGUAUUUAGGAACCUUCGAUUUUGAGAAGGCUCCAUGGUGGUUAGGGUGUAGAUCGGCGGCACAAUAAUGACUUAAUGAGGGGAUAGAACACAUGGGCAGCUCUUGAAGCCUGGUGCAGAUAAUUGCCUUGCUUCCCUUCAUCUGGUUACAUGGCCUCUAUAUUUUAUAGUCCCUAGAGGACUUGUUUUCCCAAGCGAACUAGGGGAGUCCUUAUCGAUUUGGACUCUCCUUAACAAAUAAUUCUAUUUCCUAAAUGAGGAGUCUUUAUUGACUUAGACUUUCCUUCCUAACGAAUAAAUAAUUAUAUUUCCUAAAUGGAUACUAUUUACGCCUAUUGUAAUUUGAGCACAACACCUACCUGACCCAUUUUCUGGUGUGCAUAAGGUAUACAGGUCAUAACAUAAGCCUAGACUUAGGUUUUUUUGGUACUUGGUCAUAACACAGAAUGUUCAUGUUUAUACUAUAUAAUGGUAAAACUUAUUUGCAGAGUUUGCAUGGCAGUAUUGCAUGUUCAGGUAAUUCACCUUGUUUUCUGCAAUUAUUAUUGCAGAGGCACGCGGAUUAAGACCCGCAAGCGGAACAUUGCAGCUCCUUUGGACCCUGCAUCAUUCUCUGAUGCAAUUGUCCAGAUUUAUCUGGAUAAUGGUGGAGAUCUGGUUAGGCCUUCUGUGGGUGUACCAUUUGCAUUUCAUAUGUUAUUUCUGUCAUUGAGAUGUAUGCAUUUAGAUUUAUGAAAUAUCCUUGAUGUGAUAUAUAGUUAGAUUCCUAUUAAGCUGGAUAAAUCAAUUAUGCUUUGCAUGGGGUAUGUCCAGCUGUGCAUGCAGGAUUUGGAGUUUUAAGAAUAAAAGAAAGUGGUUUAAGCAUAUAUGCUUAAUCAAAAAGAAUAAAAUUGUUGAACCAAAUACCUUUAAUUUGCCCAUGUCCUCCAGCUCCAAGAAUUUGGAGCUAGUAAUGAGCGGCUCCAAAAAAUCUUGGAUCUGGAGCUGUGCAAACAGCUCCUAGCACAUGUGUUGUAUGAUAGUAAUAGCUAUCAGGAUCCAAACUGACCGAGAACUGUUUGAUAUUUUUCUUUUACUUGUUUCAUUGAUGCAGUUUUAUGCCAUUCUCAAUUUUUUGUUACCAGGAACUCGUCGCCAAAAGUAUUGAGUCUUCCGACCUCAACUUCUCACGUUACGGUGACACCUUUUUUGAGGUACGGCCAGUGGAACAAUAUAUACACUGAAAUUCUCAUUCAUUCUCAAUAUGUUGUUUUGUUGCUUCUUUUAGCUUUUACUCUUGUUGUAUGUUGCAAGUUUUAAUAGUGUUAUUUGUGAAUGGGUCUCUACUUAGGUUGGUUAGGUGGAUCUAGUCACAUUCAGGCCUGGCUUAGAUCAUUGUCCUCGUAGGGCUACAGUGCUGCUGUGUAUGGGUGGGGCAAAGGUUUGAGGUUUGUUCGACCUGCAUGAGAUAUUCUUUCUAGCAAAAUGACUGGGGCUGUCUGAUCCCUGCAGUUCAAGUUUUUUUAUUAGUGUUAUUUUGCAUUUGUUACCUUCGGAUGG
rnacentral:lncRNA from 1 species